rnacentral:rRNA from 1 species
UGGGGAAUAUUGGGCAAUGGGCGAAAGCCUGACCCAGCAACGCCGCGUGAGGGAAGAAGGCCUUCGGGUUGUAAACCUCUGUCCUUGGUGACGAAAAAAAUGACGGUAGCCAAGGAGGAAGCCCCGGCUAACUACGUGCCAGCAGCCGCGGUAAUACGUAGGGGGCGAGCGUUGUCCGGAAUUACUGGGCGUAAAGGGUGCGUAGGUGGCCUUUUAAGUUGGAUGUGAAAUACCCGGGCUUAACUUGGGGGGUGCAUCUAAUACUGGAGGGCUAGAGUGCAGGAGAGGGAAGCGGAAUUCCUAGUGUAGCGGUGAAAUGCGUAGAUAUUAGGAGGAACACCAGUGGCGAAGGCGGCUUUCUGGACUGUAACUGACACUGAGGCACGAAAGCGUGGGGAGCAAACAGG